AAAUGAGAGAGAGCAGCAAAAUAGACAUAUUGAAAGACAGAAUACUACAGGGAUGGAAUAAUGGUGGGUGGGGUGGUUCUCACCUACCUGGUGAUCAGUAUCCUGAUUGGUUCAUCUACAAGGGUGAAGGACAUUCUGUAAUUUUUAAGGUGCCUCAAGUCAUAGGUUGUCACUUGAAAGCGAUGCUUCUCAAUGUUGUGUAUUCUUCUUUCAUGGAUAACAGAAGCCCUCGAUUUCUCAUCAUCAAUGUUCUGAUCAUUAACUACACGAAGGCUUAUGUUAAACACUGCAAGGGAGACUCGGCAACUUUCCAUGAAGACACGGAAUGGCAAAGUAUCAUUUCAAGUGUUCAACCUGGUGAUCUGGUGGAGCUUGUUUUAUAUAUUGGGCCUCAAUUCCCUGUGAAGAAGAUUGCAGCAUACUUGAUUUAUGACAGUUCUAAGCGUCGUAGGUUAUUGACCUAAUUGUCGCAAAAACUGAUUUCGGUCUGUAAUAUAGCCUCAGUAUUUCUGAUGCAGCGGCAACUUUUAGAUAUGGAAAAUGACAAUUGCGACCUUCUUAAGCAAGA